rnacentral:sRNA from 1 species
GCUGGGUGUGGGGGUACAUGCCUGUAAUCCUAGUUGCUCAGGAGGCCGAGGCAGGAGGAUUGCAAGUUCAAAGCCAGCCUCAGCAACAUGGUGAGGCCCUGAGCAAUUUAGCGAGACCCUGUCUCAA